UCUUGUGCUGCAAAGCGCUUUUGCGUACCAACAGCUGGAGCUCAUAUUAUUGGUUGUGGCCAGACCAGAAUACUAAUAUUAAAAAAUCUAUUGGGAGAGCUUUUCCCCAGAACUGCCACUCAAAGUUGGUACUGGGCUGGCCAAUCACAGCGCGUCCGUUGCUGCGGUGGGUUGCGCAGGGAGAGAGUGCAGUGAUGGUUUUGGUGCGAGUGCUGGAGCCCCGGAUGCAGGCCUGGGCGUGAGGAUGCUGCUGGUCUGGGAGUCGUGGCGUGAUCCGGUCCAUUGUCUGUCCUGUCGGUGGUCGUCGGGGCGACGACGUCACGGCGAUCUGCUUCCAGCAGCAGAGAUCAGAGGAGAGGAUGAACGGCUCAGCGGCAGACAAAAGACCCUCUGAAGGGUUAAAAAUAACCGGUCCAGACGAGCACCGGUCCACUUUCCCUCAGAUGAUCUGGUUUUGUUGGAUGAUUGAUGUUCAUCUCUUUGUUUUUCAAAAUAAAAGUCCACACAAAGGA